rnacentral:rRNA from 1 species
CGCUAGCGGCAGGCCUAACACAUGCAAGCCGGACGGUAAGUCUCAGCUUGCUGAGUACACGAGUGGCGCACGGGUGAGUAACACGUAUGCAACCUACCUUCAACUGGAGAAUAGCCCCGAGAAAUUGGGAUUAAUACUCCAUAAAUUGCAAAAUUCGCAUGUUUUUUGCAUUAAAGCUUCGGCGGUUGGAGAUGGGCAUGCGCGACAUUAGUUUGUUGGUGAGGUAACGGCUCACCAAGACAGCGAUGUCUAGGGGCUCUGAGAGGACUAUCCCCCACACUGGUACUGAGACACGGACCAGACUCCUACGGGAGGCAGCAGUGAGGAAUAUUGGGCAAUGGGUGCAAGCCUGACCCAGCCAUGCCGCGUGCAGGAUUGACGGCCCUAUGGGUUGUAAACUGCUUUUCUAUGGGAAGAAACCUUAUUACGUGUAAUGAGUUGACGGUACCAUAGGAAUAAGCAUCGGCUAACUCCGUGCCAGCAGCCGCGGUAAUACGGAGGAUGCAAGCGUUAUCCGGAUUUAUUGGGUUUAAAGGGUGCGUAGGCGGAAUGAUAAGUCAGUGGUGAAAUCCUACAGCUUAACUGUAGAACUGCCAUUGAUACUGUUAUUCUUGAGUACAGUUGAAGUGGAUGGAAUGUGUCAUGUAGCGGUGAAAUGCAUAGAUAUGACACAGAACACCGAUAGCGAAGGCAGUUCACUAAACUGUAACUGACGCUGAGGCACGAAAGCGUGGGGAGCAAACAGGAUUAGAUACCCUGGUAGUCCACGCCGUAAACGAUGAUAACUCGAUGUGUGCGAUAUACAGUACGCGUCCGAGCGAAAGUGUUAAGUUAUCCACCUGGGAAGUACGUCCGCAAGGAUGAAACUCAAAGGAAUUGACGGGGGCCCGCACAAGCGGAGGAGCAUGUGGUUUAAUUCGAUGAUACGCGAGGAACCUUACCUGGGCUUAAAUGCAGAACGACGUACUGGGAAACCAGUAUUUCUUCGGACGGACUGCAAGGUGCUGCAUGGUUGUCGUCAGCUCGUGCCGUGAGGUGUCGGGUUAAGUCCCAUAACGAGCGCAACCCCUAUUCUUAGUUGCCAGCAUGUAAUGAUGGGGACUCUAAGGAAACUGCCUACGCAAGUAGUGAGGAAGGUGGGGAUGACGUCAAAUCAGCACGGCCCUUAUGUCCAGGGCUACACACGUGCUACAAUGGCUGGUACAGAGGGUGGCUACCUGGUGACAGGAUGCUAAUCUCUAAAACCAGUCUCAGUUCGGAUUGAAGUCUGCAACUCGACUUCAUGAAGUUGGAUUCGCUAGUAAUCGCGUAUCAGCAAUGACGCGGUGAAUACGUUCCCGGGCAUUGUACACACCGCCCGUCAAGCCAUGGGAGUUGGGAGUACCUGAAGUCGAUAACCGCAAGGAG